AACAAACAAACAAACAAAACCCUAUUUAAACUGUUUAGCAUGGUUUUGCACCAAUUUAAAUUUGGGCAUUUAUACAAGGUAUAUGUGAUUUGAUGAUGAUUAUUGAUGAAAUGAAAGAAGCUAAGACGAACGCAGCAUCUCGAUUGGAGAGAGACCUCAUGUGGUGGCGACAAAAAGGAACUGAGAGACCAUGAAGAAGAACUGUGAGUAUUCCAAAUCCCACAGAAAGGGAUAGGUGCUGAAAGUCGAGACUUGAAAGAGACUGAGAAGAAGUUGAAAGAAGGGAAACCGAUAAUUGAGGGACUGGGACCAGAAGAAUGGACAGUCUUGGUAUACCCAUGAGGACGAGGUUCCUGGAAGAGGGUGAUUCGUCCGGGGCCAGUCCAACCUCACGAGAAACCCCC